AGUAAGGUAAGCUAAACUAAGCUAUCGGGCCCAUACCCCGAAAAUGUCGGUUAACACCUUCCCUUACUG
rnacentral:tRNA from 1 species